GUUUCCUGUGUGUCACCAGAGGGCUCUCUUUCCCUUCUCAUAUCUGUCCUGCUGGAUCUUACUGUCCAGGCAGAGACAACAGUAACCAGCAGGCCUCUAUACCCUGCUCACCUGGAAACAUGUGCCCGCCUGGAACUGAUAGGCAGGUAUCCUGUUUGCCAGGUACCUACCAGGAUUUACCAGGACAGGUGAGGAAGAUAAGUAAUAUUCUGAUAUAUCCUGCAGUUUCAAGUGCACAGUGCACCUAUUAAAUAAAAAUACUGGUUGCACCUUUAUUAAUAAUAACUUCUUAGAAUUACCUGCAGCCACUGUGCUACUGUUUUACACAGCAUAAGGCUUGACAUACUGGAAUGAAAAAUCUUUUAAUGUUAAAAUACUCUAAGUAGUUAUUUAAUCUAAACCUUGAUUUAAUCUAAACCUGAAUCUAAAAUGGUGCUAUUGACUAAAUCUUUAUGACCUAUAAAAGAUAAGUACUCAAUCUAUUGUGAGGGUGCGUUAUUUAGACAUUGUGUGGGAACCAAAGAGAUAAUGUUCCAGCAGGCCCAUCUUCUUCAACACCUCUGCGUACUAUAAACAGCGUAUAGUUUAGCUUUUAUCAUAUCCAACACAAGCAUGUUCUGGUCUGUUUAUAUCCAUGAACAUCUGCAGUCAUAAUUUUGUGUUUGCGCUGUGUAUUAAAAAAAUGAUGUGUGUAAUUUACCCCUCUACAGGCAGAGUGUGUUAAAUGCCCAGCAGGAUUUUACUGUCCCAUCCUAGUGGAUGCCGAAACUGGGCAUGUGUCUGGGACUCAGGCACCCAUGCUGUGUCCUAAAGGACACUAUUGCCCAGCAGGAACGCAGUCAGGUGUUGCCUUCGCGUGCCCAGCUGGUACCUUCAGCAGGCAGAUGGGGUUGUCCAAUAAGUCGGACUGUGAGCUCUGUCCUCCCGGGAAAUAUUGCAGUUCCCCUGGACUGGAUACUCCCACUGGGGUCUGCUCUCCUGGUUACCUCUGUAUCCAUGGUUCGGUUUCUGCCCAGCCAGAGGAGGGCCCAACAGGAGGCCGCUGCUCUGCAGGGUCCUACUGCCCCAAGGGCACCAGCUAUAAGGUUUCCUGCCCUGCAGGCACCUUCAGCUCCAUUGACGGGGCAGUUUCCAACGAAGCAUGUCGACCCUGUUUGCCUGGCCAUUACUGUGCCACGGUUGGCCUCUCCUCCCCAUCUGGGCCCUGUGACCCCGGCUUCUACUGCACAGGAGGAUCUGCAACAGCCUCACCUUGGGGUAAUAUCACAGUUACAGGAGAUUUCACAUCUCCAUCUCCACUUACUGGCAAUUCAGACCUGGGUCAGUUCCAUGGUGAUGUGUGUCCUGCCGGCCACUUUUGUCCCAGAGGGAGUGCAAAGCCAAGCUCCUGUCCUCCAGGCACUUUCUUGGGGAAGUCUGGAGCUGAGUCAGAAGCUGACUGUGAAGCUUGUUACCCAGGAUCUUACUGCCCCUCUUGGGCUCAGAUCUCUGCUGACCUCCUCUGCCCCCGGGGCUGGUUCUGUCCUCCAGGAUCAACGUCUGGACAUCAGCCAGGACGCCAGUGCCCACCUGGCCACGUGUGCCCACAUGGUAGUGCUGAGCCAUCCAUCUGUAGCCCUGGCACGUUCCAGGAUUCAUCUGGACAGUCGGCUUGUAACAUUUGCCCAGCGGGUUUCUACUGUACGGAGGGUUCAUCUGUGCCAACUCCGUGUCCAGCGGGCCAUGUCGGUCCAUCACCUGGCAGGACGUCCCUCAGCGACUGCUCCCCGUGCCCCCCUGGCUCCUUCUGUAACAGCAGUGCUCUGACAGAGCCGUCAGGGCUCUGCCACCCAGGGCAUUUUUGUUCCCUGGGGUCCACCGAGAUUUCUCCCAUCUCCCAGCCUUAUGGAGAUGUUUGUCCCCUCUGGGACACUUCUGCCCUCAGGGUAGUGGGGCACCAAAACCCUGUCCUGUUGGCAGCUAUCUCCCAGAGCCUGGAGCUUCCUCCCCAUCUCACUGCCAGCCCUGCUCCCCAGGGAAAUACUGCCUCAGUCCUGGAGCCUCGCAGCCAACAGGUCUGUGUUUUGCAGGUUUCUUCUGCUCUGGAGGGGCAGAUAGCCCCACGCCUCGAGCCAACUCCUCUCUGUUCAGCUGCCUUCAUGAAAUACUGGAGGCUUUUACCAUGA
rnacentral:lncRNA from 1 species